rnacentral:piRNA from 1 species
UUUCUUUACUAGCUGAGUGGU